GUUCGGCGAGGUUAAGGGCCUAAGGUCCGGAGCCGAAGGGAAACCGAGUGUGAAUAGCGCGACUUAAGUCGAGCGGAGUAGACCCGAAAGCGAGUGAUCUAUCCAUGGGCAGGCUGAAGCGGAUGUAACAGUCCGUGGAGGGCCGAACGGGUAUAGGUUGAAAACUGUUCCGAUGACCUGUGGAUUGGAGUGAAAGGCUAAUCAAACUCGCAGAUAGCUGGUUCUCCCCGAAAUAGCUUUCGGGCUAGCCUCUGGUGAUAGUUUACGGGGGUAGAGCUACUGAAUGGGAUAGGGGCCCUCCGGGGUACCCUACCCAAUCAAACUCCGAAUACCGUAAACCGUAUCCAGGGAGUCAGACUACGGGUGA
rnacentral:rRNA from 1 species